rnacentral:rRNA from 1 species
AGGGAAUCUUGCGCAAUGGGGGAAACCCUGACGCAGCGAUGCCGCGUGAGUGAGGAAGGCCUUAGGGUUGUAAAGCUCUGUUCUGUGGGAAAAACGGUGGUUGGAUGAAUAAUCCAACUAAGUGAUUGUACUGCAGGAGAAAGCACCGGCUAACUUCGUGCCAGCAGCCGCGGUAAUACGAAGGGUGCAAGCGUUGUUCGGAUUUAUUGGGCGUAAAGGGUGAGUAGGCGGAUAGAGAAGUCAGAUGUGAAAUCUCGGGGCUCAACCCCGAAACUGCGUCUGAAACUUUUUAUCUUGAAUUUCGAAGAGGGAAGGGGAAUUUCGCAUGUAGGAGUAAAAUCCGUAGAGAUGCGAAGGAACACCAGAGGCGAAGGCGCCUUCCUGGGAGAACAUUGACGCUGAGGCACGAAAGCGUGGGGAGCAAAC